rnacentral:rRNA from 1 species
UGUCCUACGGGGGGCAGCAGUGAGGAAUAUUGGUCAAUGGGCGCGAGCCUGAACCAGCCAAGUCGCGUGAGGGAAGACGGUCCUAUGGAUUGUAAACCUCUUUUGUCGGGGAGCAAAAGACGCCACGCGUGGCGUUCCGAGAGUACCAGAAGAAAAAGGAUCGGCUAACUCCGUGCCAGCAGCCGCGGUAAUACGGAGGAUGCGAGCGUUAUCCGGAUUUAUUGGGUUUAAAGGGUGAGAAGGCGGAAGAUGAAGUCAGAGGUAAAAUUGAGAGGCUCAACCUCUUCGAGACGUUGAAACUGGUU